CUAGCCUUGAAUAGAGGUGUCUCCUGCAUCCAGUGUUUCAGCUGACGGAUAAAUACUUUGUGUCCAUAAAUAUCACUGUUCACAUGAGAAAGCACUCCAUGAUGAAAGUGUCCAACACAUCUUUGUAAAAGAACAAUACUUUGUUUUUAUUUUGAUCCAAAAUAAAAGUACACACACAGGAACAUCAUACGUGUAGAUGAAAGCCAGCGGGCAGAUCUCCAAAAAAGCUUGACACGUUUCAUGCCCCAAAGGGCACUUACUCAUAACUCGGGACUUUGCAACAUUGUGUAUUGUUUGUCGUUGUCAUGUGAAAGGGGUAGUGAUACAUGCGCUGGAAAUAUAACUGCCUAUAAAUCAG